UACAGAGGGGGCAAGCGUGGUUCGGAAUUACUGGGCGUAAAGGGCGUGUAGGCGGCCUUCUAAGUCGAACGUGAAAUCCCCGGGCUCAACCCGGGAACUGCGUCCGAUACUGGGAGGCUUGAAUCCGGGAGAGGGAUGUGGAAUUCCAGGUGUAGCGGUGAAAUGCGUAGAUAUCUGGAGGAACACCGGUGGCGAAGGCGGCAUCCUGGACCGGUAUUGACGCUGAGGCGCGAAAGCCAGGGGAGCAAACGGG
rnacentral:rRNA from 1 species